CCCCUCUCAGGAUCGCACCUGGAGAGUUUCCAGUACUCUACUAGUUUCGACUUUGGGAGGGAAGAGUCAAGCAGAGGCAUAUCCACUCCAUUCCUAGCUUGGGCAGUGUCUAGUGAGUGGAAGGUGAUCUGCUACAAGU